rnacentral:rRNA from 1 species
GACGAACCGAGCGAACGUUAUUCGGAAUCACUGGGCUUAAAGGGCGCGUAGGCGGGCCAUCAAGUCAGGGGUGAAAGCCCCCAGCUCAACUGGGGAAGUGCCUUUGAUACUGGUGGUCUCGAGGGGGGAUAGGGGCAUGCGGAACUUCCGGUGGAGCGGUGAAAUGCGUAGAUAUCGUAAGGAAGACCAGUGGCGAAGGCGGGUCUCUGGACAGUUCCUGACGCUGAGGCACGAAGGCCAGGGGAGCAAACGGG